rnacentral:tRNA from 1 species
GUCCCCGUAGCUCAGUGGACAGAGCGGCGAGCUUCUAACUCGCGGGUCGCAGGUUCGAAUCCUGCCGGGGACG